rnacentral:rRNA from 1 species
AUUGAACGCUGGCGGCAGGCCUAACACAUGCAAGUCGAACGAGUGGCGGACGGGUGAGUAAUGUCUGGGAAACUGCCUGAUGGAGGGGGAUAACUACUGGAAACGGUAGCUAAUCCCGCAUACCAUCGGAUGAGCCCAGAUGGGAUUAGCUAGUAGGUGGGGUAAGGGCUAACCUAGGCGACGAUCCCUAGCGGGUCUGCGAGGAUGACCAGCCACACUGGAACUGAGACACGGUCCAGACUCCUACGGGAGGCAGCAGUGGGGAAUAUUGCACAAUGGGCGCAAGCCUGAUGCAGCCAUGCCGCGUGUAUGAAGAAGGCCUUCGGUUUGUAAAGUACUUUCAGCGGUGAGGCGUUACCCGCAGAAGAAGCACCGGCUAACUCCGUGCCAGCAGCCGCGGUAAUUC